rnacentral:rRNA from 1 species
GACAGAGGUCCCAAGCGUUAGGCGGAAUCAUCUGGGCUUAAAGCGUGUGUAGGCGGAUUUGUAAGUACCUUGUGGAAAUCCCACGGCUCAACCGUGGAACUGCUUGGUAUACUGCUUAUCUUGGGUCAUCUAGGGGCUACCGGAACAAGUGGUGGAGCGGUGAAAUGCGUAGAUAUCACUUGGAACGCCAAUGGUGAAAACAGGUAGCUGGGGAUGCACGACGCUGAGACACGAAAGCCAGGGGAGCGAACGGG